AAAUCUUUAGCUUUGCGCAGUGGCGAUAUCGUAACCAAUGAGGUCUAUCCGAGGUGCGAUUAUUGCUAGUUGAAAACUUUAACCAAUACCCCGCCAUGUGGACAUGAAACACUGUCCGCAUAGGCAAUUUUUGCAGGCCCUAACGGGCUCAUAAACGCUUGAUCAAUCUUACCCACUUAAGUACAAUUUAUGGUUAAUAUAUUUGAUGCUAUCAACCAAACCCACGGUUCUGGUGAAAGUCUCAUGAAUUCAUCUACGUGAUAUACACCUGUUAGAAACAUCAAAAAUUAAACAGAAUACCCGAUAUCAUAACUAUGCGCUUUUCCAUAUUUCCCGAAUAUCAACUGUCAGUCACGUUUUAAUAAUGUCA